CCAGACUCCUACGGGAGGCAGCAGUGAGGAAUAUUGGUCAAUGGGCGAGAGCCUGAACCAGCCAAGUCGCGUGAAGGAUGACGGCCCUACGGGUUGUAAACUUCUUUUGUCAGGGAACAAAGGGUGCCACGUGUGGCGCUGUGAGUGUACCUGAAGAAUAAGCAUCGGCUAACUCCGUGCCAGCAGCCGCGGUAAUACGGAGGAUGCGAGCGUUAUCCGGAUUUAUUGGGUUUAAAGGGUGCGUAGGCGGUUUGUCAAGUCAGCGGUAAAAAUUCCGGGCUCAACCCGGUCCCGCUGUUGAAACUGGCGAACUCGAGAGGGAGAGAAGUAGGCGGAAUGCGCAGUGUAGCGGUGAAAUGCAUAGAUAUUGCGCAGAACUCCGAUUGCGAAGGCAGCCUACCGGCUCCUGUCUGACGCUGAGGCACGAAAGCGUGGGUAUCGAACAGGAUUAGAUACCCGAGUA
rnacentral:rRNA from 1 species